rnacentral:rRNA from 1 species
AAUCUUGCGCAAUGGGCGAAAGCCUGACGCAGCAAUGCCGCGUGAAUGAUGAAGGUCUUAGGAUUGUAAAAUUCUUUCACCGGGGACGAUAAUGACGGUACCCGGAGAAGAAGCCCCGGCUAACUUCGUGCCACCAGCCGCGGUAAUACGAAGGGGGCUAGCGUUGCUCGGAAUUACUGGGCGUAAAGGGCGCGUAGGCGGAAAUUUAAGUUAGGGGUGAAAUCCAAGAGCUGAACUCUGGAACGGCCUUUGAUACUGGGUGUCUUGAGUGUGAGAGAGGUAUGUGGAACUCAGAGUGUAGGGGUGAAAUUCGUAGAUAUUCGGAAGAACACCAGUGGCGAAGGCGACAUACUGGCUCAUUACUGACGCUGAGGCGCGAAAGCGUGGGGAGCAAACA